rnacentral:rRNA from 1 species
AGAGUUUGAUCAUGGCUCAGGAUGAACGCUGGCGGCGUGCUUAACACAUGCAAGUCGAACGAAGCACUUUAUUUGAUUUCUUCGGAAUGAAGAUUUAGUGACUGAGUGGCGGACGGGUGAGUAACGCGUGGGCAACCUGCCUCAUACAGGGGGAUAACAGUUGGAAACGACUGCUAAUACCGCAUAAGCGCACAGUACCGCAUGGUACAGUGUGAAAAACUCCGGUGGUAUGAGAUGGGCCCGCGUCUGAUUAGCCAGUUGGCGGGGUAACGGCCCACCAAAGCGACGAUCAGUAGCCGACCUGAGAGGGUGACCGGUCACAUUGGGACUGAGACACGGCCCAAACUCCUACGGGAGGCAGCAGUGGGGAAUAUUGCACAAUGGGGGAAACCCUGAUGCAGCGACGCCGUGUGAGCGAAGAAGUAUUUCGGUAUGUAAAGCUCUAUCAGCAGGGAAGAAGAAUGACGGUACCUGACUAAGAAGCACCGGCUAAAUACGUGCCAGCAGCCGCGGUAAUACGUAUGGUGCAAGCGUUAUCCGGAUUUACUGGGUGUAAAGGGAGCGCAGGCGGAAGGCUAAGUCUGAUGUGAAAGCCCGGGGCUCAACCCCGGUACUGCAUUGGAAACUGGUCAUCUAGAGUGUCGGAGGGGUAGGCGGAAUUCCUAGUGUAGCGGUGAAAUGCGUAGAUAUUAGGAGGAACACCGGUGGCGAAGGCGGCCUGCUGGACGACAACUGACGCUGAGGCUCGAAAGCGUGGGGAGCAAACAGGAUUAGAUACCCUGGUAGUCCACGCCGUAAAC